rnacentral:lncRNA from 1 species
AUGAGAAUACAGUUUCCUCCGAAAAAAUCUUAGGCUGAUCUUGGAAGAAAGACCCCCUGGAUCAUCUAAAAAUAAAGUUUUCUAUUUAAAGAAGCCUGAGGUGAGAUGUCUGGCCGUGUUGCUAGUGCUCGUCGCCCUCAAGAAGCCAAACAGGCUCUCAGAGUCUCUCAGGCCCUGCCCCCGGACGUGGCCCCGCCCCAGAGCAUGCUGGGCAGGACCUCCCCAUAGAUCCCUCCCAUUGCCAAUGUAUUCCUCCAGAGGAUUCUGAGCUCUGCUUGGUGUUUCCAGCUGUGAUGAGUUUUUAUGAAGAAAAGUUCCCAUCUGAUGACUUCUCUGUUUCCCUCUGGUGGUCCAGCACAUAUGAUCAAUGAGCGAGGAGUGUGGACAAGGUGUAGGAAAGUGGAAUUGUUUUGAGAACUUAGGCAAGCGAGUUGACUGAGAAAACAAUCACAGAAGCUCCCCGAGACAGGGCCUCUGUUGUGCCUCCACUGGGUGUCCCAAGUGCUUGGAAGAGCGUC